UCCCCGGUGGCGCAGUGGUAGCGCGGAAUCCUGUUAAGAUUAAGGUCGUAGGUUCGAAUCCUACCCGGGGAG
rfam:Microgenomates bacterium GW2011_GWF1_38_5 TS97_C0013, whole genome shotgun sequence.